UAGCUCAAUGGUAGAGCCCUUGCCUGCCAUGCAAGUAUAUCUAUGGUCUGGUUUCGAUUUCCAG
rnacentral:tRNA from 1 species